UCAACCUGGAUGGUGUCUCCAACCAGGGGCUUGGUGGUUCAAGAGAUGGCGGAAAGAGAACGACCGUGGGUGUAGUAAACAAUGCUGGUGGUUUUGGUGCUGCCACUGGUGGUCAACCCGGUCAGAUGGGAAAUAACAUGAAAGACAGUCUAUUCCCGUCAUUCUUCGGGGCUGAUGAUGAUAGGGAGGAAGAUCGAGAAGCUG
rnacentral:lncRNA from 1 species